ensembl:lncRNA
GUUAAGCCGCCCAAGUGUUUAUUACUAAAUAACAUAGUGUUUGUUGACAUCAUUUCACUGAACAUCGUACAUAUUACCUGCCAACACACAGCAGAAAACACCCCAUUCCACCUCUUCCAAACGAAACAGAAGUCAAUUAUUGUCCAUGUUGAUAAUUAGUGUCCGUGACGUUAUGUCAAAGCUGCGGAGUCAUUAGCAAUGCAGAUGUGAGAAACACUGUCACUCACAGCUGUGUCCCUGCCCUUUUGUAGAGCCAGUUGGUCAGAGGAAAAACAGUUUCCAAGCUACACUGCAUGGAGGCACAAAGAGAAAUAGAUAAAAACAAUUAUGUCUCCCCCUAGUGGAUAUUCAGUAUAUUUUAGAACACAAAAUGUAGACAGACCUCUGCUGGCUGAGCUGAUAUUAUAGCAAAUGGCAUUUGUGUGGUACUCUUUGGUAGUCCGAUGAGGAAUGAAUGACAGCAAAUAGUCACUUGCGUUAGCAUAGGGCUAACGUUUGCCAGUUUAUCUAGUGGGACAAUUUAGCAUUCUAUCACAUGACAAUGUCAAGCAUUUUCAUUGGCUAAAUCUUGGUUUUUGAAAGCCUCAAGAAGUCCAUUUAAAGGUGCAUUCCGGGACUUUGCAAUAAAAAAAACAUUUAAACUCCCAUUUUGGUCUGGAUGUGUAAUGUUCUUUAAAUGCUUAAUCUAUAAGUCGGAUAACUAUAAUACCACAGACAGCCGUUAAAUUCCAAGUUUGAAAGUGUGGUUCUGAUGACAUGGGCAGAAAUCAGAACAUGCAUGACACAGUGGACCAUGUUCUGGGACACUGCUUGGUUUGACAGUGUCACUUCCACAACCAGUGCCAACAAAUAACUAACUGCAUCUUUCAUUUCAGUUGAAAACAACAACCAUGAAAUCCUUCAUACAGAAAACAAGUAUUGAGUAAAUAAUAGUUAAACAAGGUACAACAGUGGUUGAAUACAUCCCAACGGCCUCAUUCCUGUAACUUAUCUAAACAGACACAAUGUAAAGAGAUUCUUCAUUACGGAAAAUAUGACAAACCCUCCCACUACUGCUGUCUGCAAAUCAGCAGAACAUUAUAAAAUGGUCAAGACCAAGUUUCCUCAGAGUACAGAUCUAGGACCAGAUUUUCCUUUCCUUCAAUGGGGGAAGCUAAAAAACAAAAACCAGAUCAGAAUCCAGAGGCAGCCUGCCCUGAUAGUUUGUGGAGCAUUUAGAUAUAAAGUAUGGAACAAACAUGCCCCUUUGUUGAAUGUAGAGUAAGGAAUGCUGUCAGCUCUGUUUAUAAGUCUAUACGAGAGGAGCAGCUGACUAGCAUCUUGGAGCAAAAGAAAAAGAAGUAACGUGUGUGUGUGUGUGUGUGUGUGUAAACAUAGAGAACCCACAGCUGUCAUCCCAGAACAACCAAAUCAUCAUGAUACAUGUGAUUAAAACAAAGGAGACAUUUAUCCAUUAUUCAUUUACUCUGAAAUUAAUUGGAGUGAUCUCUGGAAUUAGGUUGCAGUUCUGGUCUCCUUGGCACAGCACGUCUG